UCUGGUAGCAAUGAUGACUGAUCUUUUUUCCCCAACAGAUCGACAAUGUUGACGUUCAGAAUAAAAAUAAGCCAAAUGAUCUGAGCAACCAGA